CCUUCCGUAGGGUGAACCUGCGGAAGGAUCAUUACCUAGAGUUGUAGGCUUUGCCUGCUAUCUCUUACCCAUGUCUUUUGAGUACCUUACGUUUCCUCGGUGGGUUCGCCCACCGAUUGGACAAAUUUAAACCCUUUGCAGUUGAAAUCAGCGUCUGAAAAAACUUAAUAGUUACAACUUUCAACAACGGAUCUCUUGGUUCUGGCAUCGAUGAAGAACGCAGCGAAAUGCGAUAAGUAGUGUGAAUUGCAGAAUUCAGUGAAUCAUCGAAUCUUUGAACGCACAUUGCGCCCCUUGGUAUUCCAUGGGGCAUGCCUGUUCGAGCGUCAUUUGUACCUUCAAGCUCUGCUUGGUGUUGGGUGUUUGUCUCCUGUAGACUCGCCUUAAAACAAUUGGCAGCCGGCGUAUUGAUUUCGGAGCGCAGUACAUCUCGCGCUUUGCACUCAUAACGACGACAUCCAAAAGUACAUUUUUACACUCUUGACCUCGGAUCAGGUAGGGAUACCCGCUGAACUUAAGCAUAUCAAUAGCCGGGAGGAGAAA
rnacentral:rRNA from 1 species